UGGGGAAUAUUGCACAAUGGAGGGAACUCUGAUGCAGCGACGCCGCGUGAACGAAGAAGGCUUUCGAGUCGUAAAGUUCUUUUAUAUGGGAAGAUAAUGACGGUACCAUAAGAAGAAGCCCCGGCUAACUACGUGCCAGCAGCCGCGGUAAUACGUAGGGGGCUAGCGUUGUCCGGAAUCACUGGGCGUAAAGGGUUCGCAGGCGGAAAUGCAAGUCAGGUGAAAAAGGCAGUAGCUUAACUACUGUAAGCAUUUGAAACUGCAUAUCUUGAGAAGAGUAGAGGUAAGUGGAAUUUUUAGUGUAGCGGUGAAAUGCGUAGAUAUUAAAAAGAAUACCGGUGGCGAAGGCGACUUACUGGGCUCAUUCUGACGCUGAGGAACGAAAGCGUGGGUAGCAAACAGG
rnacentral:rRNA from 1 species